AAAAUAAAGAAAAAUAAUAUUAAUAACAAGUCAAGUAUACUUACAUGUGGCGGUAGAUAAUAAAUGAAUGAAAUCAUAUGGUUGUACGUAGGUAUGUAUAGGCGAGCUGUGUUUCAUAAGCUCAUAAAAUGAGUAAAGUUGGCUACGCCAAACAUUUGCGUAAAAACAGAGUCGUAUUUUCCAUUCAGGAAUGGAAAUUUUAUUCUCGCGGUUUUUUUUCAAAUAUUUCAAUAUUGAAAUGAAUGAAACAUUCUAAUUUUUCUGACAGCCUGGUAAAAUAAGGCGGAUUGAAUGUUUUAGGGGUAGGAGAACGGGGAUGUAGGGAAAGAUAAUAUUAAGUUUACUGGAGCUAGUGAACCAAGAAAAGUUUAAUAACCACAAAAUACAUAGUUAUCCCAUUUUUUUUAUAUUGUAAACAUCGAUAGCGGGAUAUAUUUAAUAUAAUUUAAAUAUAUAAUCCAAUAAUCCGCGGAAAAGCAAAGUAGAAAACCGAUACUAUAUAUUAGAAAAAGGGGAAUGGGAACGAUAAAUAAGUGUAGGCGGGAAAUUUUGCCGCAGUAAUAGUACAUAAACCGCGAAUUUUGUAAAUAGGAGAUGGGUAUUUAAAGCUACAACAUAGGAGAAAUCGAGCUAUUGGCAAACAAAAGGUUGAGUGAGAGACUAAAAGUAAAGUAAAAUCUUCAAAAGAAAAAAAAAAAACAAACAAAUUCAUAUUUAUAAUCUGUGUGGUAGAAUAAAAUUAAAAUUUGAAUAAGUGCAUUAAUCUAUUUGCUCGUUGGAAUAAUAAAAAAAUAUUAAAGUUAAUGAAAAUUGAAAUUAUACCUAGCUAUUUUUUUUGGGAAAAUUUAUUCUCAUAAGAGAUAUUGAUGCACUCAUCCUAAACCACACAGUGAUAAAUAGCCAGGU